rnacentral:rRNA from 1 species
UACGUAGCAGCGAGCGUUGUUCGGAGUUACUGGGCGUAAAGGGUGCGUAGGCGGUUGUUUAAGUUUGGUGUGAAAUCUCCCGCUCAACUGGGAGGGUGCGCCGAAAUACUUGAAUUGACUAGAGUGCGGGAGAGGAUAGUGGAAUUCCUGGUGUAGCGGUGAAAAUGCGUAGAUAUCAGGAGGAACACCGUGGUGUAGACGGCUAUCUAGACCGUAAACUGACGCUGAGGCACGAAAGCGUGGGUAAGCAAACAGG